GAUUAGGCACCGGGCAGUGCAGUGGGUUCGGGGGGAGAGAGUUGACGAGAGCGGCGGAACCGGAGACGUUCUCGUGGAGGCGGACGCUCGUUGCCGGCAGGAGCGUCAGAACAGCCCGGAGCCUCCGUUCGGACGGGCGCGGAGUUGGCGUCCCUUGUUAAACCCGAGGUUACCGUCACUCUCCACUUCUCGCGUCCACGGAUUCGCCUCGUAGCCUCCGGCCGCCCGUCGCUGCGCUCGUUUGCGCGGAGGUUACGCCGUUUGAACGGGCUGACACCGGAGGAGCACGCAGCUGCCAUGCAUUGAGCUCAAGCAGGCGAGCCGUGCGCGUGAGACCUGCUCUGCUGCACCAGUAACACCUAUAUCAUCAUCAUCAGCAGCAGCAGCAGCUGGAUGCGGCGGCCGGAAUCCUCUCUGAUGCUGCCCCGUGCCAGACAGUGAGGGGAGCGUCGGGAGAAGGGAUUUAUGGGCGAUUUGUUGGAUUUCUGUAACCCCGUCGUUGCAAACUUGUGUCCGGGAUGGGGAAGGAGCAGGAGCUGCUGGAAGCCGCCCGGACCGGGAACGUCGCCCUGGUGGAGAAAUUGUUGAGUGGGAAGAAGGGGGGGAUCCUGGGGUCAGGCUCCGGCUCCAUCCCUCUGCACAACCUACUGAGCAUGUGGAAGGGCCUGAAUGUCAACUGCACAGACAGCUCAGGAUACACGCCUUUGCAUCAUGCGUCGCUCAACGGACACAGGGAAGUGGUGCUGAAGCUGCUUCAGUUCGAGGCGUCGACCAACGUGGCCGACAGCAAGGGCUGCUCCCCUCUGCACCUGGCUGCCUGGAGGGGGGACGUGGACAUCGUCCGCAUCCUCAUCCACCACGGACCCUCGCACUGCCGCGUCAACCAGCAGAACCACGAGAAGGAGACGGCGCUUCACUGCGCCGCCCAGUACGGGCACAGCGACGUGGUCUCGGUGCUGCUGCAGGAGCUGACCGACCCCGCCAUGAGGAACAGCCGACAGGAGACCCCUCUGGACCUGGCGGCGCUGUACGGCCGCUUGCAGGUGGUGUGCAUGCUGGUGAGCACUCACCCCAACCUGAUGAGCAGCCACACUCGCCGGCACACGCCGCUCCACCUGGCAGCGCGGAAUGGACACCUGAGCACAGUCCAGACGCUGCUGGAGGCCGGCAUGGACGUCAACUGUGUGACUGAGAAUGGCAGUGCCCUCCAUGAGGCAGCUCUCUUUGGGAAGAUGGAUGUAGUUCGCCUCCUCCUUGACUCAGGGAUUGACAUUGAUCUGACAGACAGUCAGGAAAGAACGGCUCUAGAGAUCCUGAGAGAACAUCCAGCGCCCAAAUCCCAGCAGAUCACUGCACUUAUUCAAGAGUACGCGGUAGACGAGAUGGAGAAGAGCGCCGUGGAGGAGCCUGUCCGCAAGUGUCCUGUCCCUGCACCUCGCACCUCUGUGCCCUCACCCUCUGCCUCCCCUUCUCUCAGACACAAGAAUGACGAUGCUGUGACAAGCGAGCUGUCCAAGCUGCUGCACGCGAUCAAAAAGUGCCAGGACAGAGACUACUCCUUCGAGGAGCUCUGCCACACCAUCUCCUCCCACUCCAUGGACAGCUUCGGCAGCGGGCGGCUGUCUGACGACGAGCGGCCCAACGGGACCCUCACUCGAGCCAAGCGGCCCACCCCGCCUCUUGCUCCGGCCUUUGAGGACGAAGAGGCUGACAAAAGCUGCGGCCCCGCUGGAUUCUGGGAAGCCCUGACGCCCUGCAAUGGCUGCCGCAACCUGGGCUUCUCCAGCCUCUCCCAGGUACAGGAGUCCAAGCGUUCAGCCGAGGUGGUCUCCUCUCCGUCUCUGGACGUUUUCCUGCCUGAAGAUGAGGACAACCCGUACGAGUCUGUGACCACCGCCGUCACGCGCAAACCCUGCUCCCUGGACAUCAACCACAGGAUCGACACCUGUCCAGGCAAUGGUCACUUGUCCCAUGUAACCGUGAGUGGGGGGGGGCACAGUAACCAUGGCAACUGCUCAACUGGCCCCACUCCAGACUGCUCGCCUCCGUCCCCCGACACGGCCCUGAAGAACAUUGAGAGAGUCAUUCGCCCACAGCCCAAGCAGCGCACCUCCCUGUCGUCGUCCCUGGACGUCCAGAGGCCCGUGAACCACAGCUGCGAGCCCAGCGAGGUGAGCUCGUCCCUGGGCUACGCCAGCUUCACCACCAGCCCUCCGGCCAGCCCCCCCCUCAGCCCCAACCAGGAGGACUCCGCCGGCUCCAACGACGACUGUCAGCUCACAGACGACGGCCCGUUCCAGCGGGAGCCGCCUGCUCCUCUCAGCGCUUCCUCCACGUCCAACGCUCUUUUAGACGAGCGGAGGAAGAGCCACAUCCCAGAGGAGUUCGCGGGCCUUCUUCAUGGGUCGUCCCCAGCCUGCGAGACUCCUCAUACGCCUUAUCACCUUUAUAGCCCCAAACCUCGUAAAUACACCUCCACGGACAGUCCGAGCAAUCUGCUGCAGCCCCCGGAGUUCAGCAUCGUGCUCGGUGGAGGACUCACUCAGGUUCUGACCCGGACAGGAGGCGAGUCCUCUUCCAGUGACCCCCAGAAGCCGCAGGUGGUGUACCGGACUGUCUUCCACACCACGGUCAACCAGGACCAGGCCCAGCCCAGGAACUGCCAGCAGGUGGAUCCACCUUGUGGCCGGUCCGCACUGGGCCACCCGGCCUCCUACUGCUCUGGUCAGAUCGAAGGCGUCCAGGCAGGAGGUGCAACCAAGGACGCGGCCUCUGGCGCUGGAUACGAAGAGAGGGCCUGCACUCUGGGCAGGAUGAGGUCCGUGCCCCGUAGCGUGUUGGACCUGCAGCUGUCAAAGUCUCUGUCCAAGUCCGAUUCCAACCUGGUGUCUGUGUCUCCCAUACAGGAGGAGCACAGUUGGGGGUCUGGAUCUCGGGGGCAGGGACCAGGAAGUCCGAGCCCAGCAAAGGGUGCCGCUCCGGGGGCGAGACUAGAGAGGACGCCUUCCUUCACCGCCGAGUGGGAAGAGAUUGACAAGAUUAUGAGCUCCAUCGGGGCGGGAAUAGGCAGCGGCUUGGACGUCAAGGAGGACACCUCAGGUCCCCGCUGCCCGCUGCAGUCUGUGGGCCAGUGGCUCGACUCCAUCGGCCUGGUCCAGUACGAGAACCACCUGCUGGCCAAUGGGUUUGACAACGUCCAGUUCAUGGGCAGCAAUGUGGUGGAGGACCAGGACCUGCUGGAGAUCGGGAUCCUCAACUCUGCCCACCGACAGCGGCUCCUCCAGGCCAUACGUCUGCUGCCCAGGGUCAGGCCCGUCGGCUAUGAUGGCAACAACCCCACAUCGGUGGCGGAGUGGCUGGAGUCUCUGGAGCUCGGCGACUACACCAAAUCCUUCCUCAUCAACGGCUACACGUCUAUGGAGCUGGUCAAAAAGAUCUGGGAGAUCGAGCUCAUCAACGUGCUGAAAAUCAGUCUAAUUGGACACAGGAAACGUAUCUUGGCCUCAUUGGGGGACCGGCUACACGAAGACACGCCACAGAAGCCUCCGCGGGCCAUUUCCCUCAGGGAGCCCGGUGGGAACCACACCCCCCCCCAGCUCAGCCCAUCGGUUGGUCCGGCAGCCUACACAGCGGGGGUCCCGGGCGGAUCUCUGGACGUGCAGCACCUCAUCAUGCAGGCGGACGCCCGGCGCAGGCAGCGCAGUAAUGACAACUACUUCGAGGACGUGCCGCGGUCCAAGCUGGAGCGACAGAUGGCCCAAGUCAGCAUGGCCGGCGAGUGGUGCGAGCCCAUCACGCUGCGUCCUCCCAAUGAGGCUACCUCGUCCACCCCGGUGCAGUACUGGCAGCAUCACCCAGAGAAGCUCAUCUUUCAGUCCUGUGACUACGAAGCCUACUACCUGGGCUCCAUGCUGGUGAAGGAGCUGAGAGGGACCGAGUCCACGCAAGAUGCCUGCGCCAAGAUGAGGAAGUCGACGGAACAGAUGAAGAAAGUGCCGACCAUCGUCCUCUCGGUGUCCUACAAAGGAGUGAAGUUCAUCGAUGCCACAAAUAAGAAUAUCAUCGCGGAGCACGAGAUUCGAAACAUCUCAUGUGCGGCGCAGGAUCCGGAAGAUCUGUCGACGUUUGCCUACAUCACCAAAGAUCUGAAGUCCAGUCACCACUACUGCCACGUCUUCACUGCGUUUGAUGUGAACCUGGCGUACGAGAUCAUCCUGACGCUGGGCCAGGCGUUCGAGGUGGCCUACCAGCUGGCCCUGCAGGCCAGGAAGAGCGGCCACGGGUCGUCCACGCUGCCGGAGAGCUUCGACAGCAAGCCCAGCAAGCCCGUCCCCAAGCCCCGCGUCAACAUCCGCAAAGCUGUCAUCAUGCCCCCCUCCAGCCGCUGGUCACUGGGCCACAUUUACACCCCUCACCGGCCUCCUCUCCACCCUCCUCUUCCUCCCCCUCGACUCUUCCAUCUUCCUCACAAAGCUCGGUCACAGAUGGAGCAGCCGUCCAUGGACCAGAAGGGCCACGCCAACGUGCCGUGGAUUGUGGAGCCCGGUCAGGAGGCCAAGAGAGGAGUCAACACCAAGUACGAGACCACUAUUUUCUAACAUACACCCGCCUUGUCCACUCCUGUGUGUGUGUGCCUUUCAGAGGUGGCCCUGUGCCGGGGCCCUGCCCCGAAGUCGGGCACGAGCGACGCACACUGCCGUCGCCUCACCGGCUGAAAAAUAACAAACAAACCAUCCCGCCCCGUUAGCAGAGCCUGUCCAGUGCAUGAUGAUGUUUGGCGCUGCGCUGUCUCUCUCUUCUUUCUCGUCUCUUUCAUUUCUGCCAACCCCCCCUAUGGCCUGGGUCCCAUCCUCCUGCCUGCAGGGCUGGCGCAUGACCUCUGAACCCAGGGCUGUGGUGCACCUAUGUCUCCACUUGCAGGGGGGAACGGGCAAUGCCGGAUGCACAUGUCUAUUACAGUGGAAUGCAAAGAAUGUAGCCAGCCCUAAACACGGACCUUGUCACACACACAAUGCAAAACGGACUACAAAAGGACUACAAACAUGGACGCCACUCCAGUGUUUAAGGUUGACUACUGAAAUUUUAACAUUCAUCCACCCACCGUAAACACGUACACACACAGGACUGCAUCUUGACAGACGCUCUGCUCUGAAUGUACACUUAUUUGAAAGCAGCCUCCGCUUCCUGCAGGAUCUGUUUUAUGUGCCGCACUCGGGAGGUUACGGGGCGACGUUGGUAACAGACUAUGGGCUCACUAAGGCACCACUGGGCAUGUGUCGGUGUCGGUUUGGGUUCAAGGACAACCGGGUGGCUCUUUUGUUCGUUUGUUUGUUUUUUGUUUUGUUUUUUUCAAUUCAGAAAAUAUGCACAAGCGUAUAAAUGUGAUUGGACUAGCUGUAACAAUUAAGAUGCAACGAGUGUCUCAUCAUAACGGAUGGUGAAACUAUGUGAACAAAAGUGCAUCUGCUGUUAAAAAAAAAAAAGUAUUCUAUUAGUAUUGCCCGACGUUUUAAUGUUUAAUAUGAGAGUAUUAUUACCAUGAUGAUUAUUCUUGUGCAACUCUUGUCUACUGUUGUCUUAAUGUUAUAUUAUUUUUCUAUGCUGAGAUGAACUUUGACCUUCAGGCUGAGAUUGACGGCCUCUUAAAAAAAAUGAAAAGAAACCGAAAAUAGAAGAGCAUACUUGUAUACAGAGUGAAUGUUGCAGGUGGCUAAGCUAACUCUUGUCAGGUCAAUCCAUCGUUUCUCAUGGGGCUCUACUCUUAUCAAGCAGAUGUACUAUUUUAAACGCAGUAUUACUGUAUUUGGAUUAGACAUUAUCCAAUUAUAAAAUGUACAUAGAUAUUUUGCCAACUCAUUGUUCAUACAUGUAAUGUAAAAGAUGAAAGGAUUUGCAGUAUGUGGCACUGGAAACAAGGUACCAAAAUAAAGGUUGGAUAUUUAAAACCAGGUGGUGGUGGGUUGUAGAGAUUGUAUUUUGACUGAGAAAUAACGGUUAAUGGAGGCAUCACUGCUGACCAACUAAUGUACAUAGGCUUGGGCUUCCAGUACACUGAUUUUUGUAAUUCUGGCCAUUAUUUAUAUCCUUGUAAAGCACAUGGAAUAAAAUGACUUGUACAACCAC